UGCCCCGUGGCUGAGUUGGUUACAGCGUCCGACUGUUACUUUCUGGUCAUCGGAAGGUCGUGAGUUCGAGCCUCACCGGGGCAG